GAUGAACGCUGGCGGCGUGCCUAAUACAUGCAAGUCGAGCGAACAGACGAGGAGCUUGCUCCUCUGACGUUAUCGGCGGACGGGUGAGUAACACGUGGAUAACCUACCUAUAAGACUGGGAUAAAUUCGGGAAACCGGAGCUAAUGACGGAUAAUAUAUUGAACCGCAUGGUGCAAUAGUUAAAUACGGUUUUGCUGUCGCUUAUAGAUGGAUCCGCGCCGCAUUAGCUAGUUGGUAAGGUAACGGCUUACCAAGGCAACGAUGCGUAACCGCCCUGAGAGGGUGAUCGGCCACACGGGAACUGAGACACGGCCCAGACUCCUACGGGAGGCAGCAGUAGGGAAUCUUCCGGGAUGGGCGAGAGCCUGAUGGAGCACCGCCGCCUGAGUGAUGAUGGUCUUCGGCUCGUAAAGCUCUGUUAUUAGGGAAGAACAAAUGUGUAAGUACCUAUGCACGUAUUGACGGUACCUAAUCAGAAAGCCACGGCUAACUACGUG
rnacentral:rRNA from 1 species